rnacentral:rRNA from 1 species
UGUCUCCCCCCUCCAAUCAGUGAAACUGAUCUCCCCGUGAAGAAGCGGGGAUACAAAUAUAAGACGAGAAGACCCCAUGGAGCUUUAAACCCAACAGCACCCGUUUAUUUUCAUCCUCACAUAAGUUAGGCUAUGCCUGUUUGGUUUUAGGUUGGGGUGACCACGGAGUAUAAAACAACCUCCAUGAAAAAAGGACCAAAAAUCCUUAUUAGAGAAAGACAUUUCUAAAAUUAAUAAAUUAAUUUUUAAUGAUCCGAUAUUCGAUCAACGAACCAAGUUACCCUGGGGAUAACAGCGCAAUCCACUUCAAGAGCUCCUAUCGACAAGUGGGUUUACGACCUCGAUGUUGGAUCAGGGUAUCCUAGUGGUGCAGCAGCUACUAACGGUUCGUUUGUUCAACGAUUAAAACCCU